rnacentral:rRNA from 1 species
GACGAACGCUGGCGGCGUGCCUAAUACAUGCAAGUUGAGCGCUGAAGGUUGGUCCUUGUACCAACUGGAUGAGCAGCGAACGGGUGAGUAACGCGUGGGGAAUCUGCCUUUGAGCGGGGGACAACAUUUGGAAACGAAUGCUAAUACCGCAUAAAAACUUUAAACACAAGUUUUAAGUUUGAAAGAUGCAAUUGCAUCACUCAAAGAUGAUCCCGCGUUGUAUUAGCUAGUUGGUGAGGUAAAGGCUCACCAAGGCGAUGAUACAUAGCCGACCUGAGAGGGUGAUCGGCCACAUUGGGACUGAGACACGGCCCAAACUCCUUCGGGAGGCAGCAGGAGGGAAUCUUCGGCAAUGGGCGAAAGUCUGACCGGGCAACGCCGCGUGGGUGAAGAAGGGUUUCGGAUCGUAAAAAUCUGUUGGUAGGGAAGAACGUUGGUGAGAGUGGAAAGCUCAUCAAGUGACGGUAACUACCCAGAAAGGGACGGCUAACUACGUG